ACAGUAAUAGCUUUCUGGAUACCUGCACUCAUGUCAAUGCCGACUGGAGGAAGUGGCGCCAAGCAACUAGAAUCCUGUGUGAUCACUGGAUGCCCCUACACCUCAAGUCAAAGAUUUACAGAACACUUGGGCUACCAGUUGU